ACAUGAUCUGUAUUAUUCUCUAAAUCAGAGUCAUCAGUUUUAAGAGAACGAAAGCUAUCUUCAUUUAACAUUGUAUCUGAUUCACCAGCCGGUUCUUCGGCAAAUUGACCAACAUCUUCACUAAAUGAUUCACCAAUAUCUUCACCAACGGCUUCUUCGGCGACUUGACCAACAUUUUCACUAACUGCUCCACCAAUAUCUUCACCAACACCUUCACCAAUUGCUUCUUCGGCAACUUGACCACCUUCAUCACCGUCACCACCUUCACUAGCAAUACCCACAAUGUUAUCAUCAGUCGUAUCAAUAUU
rnacentral:lncRNA from 1 species